UACGGGAGGCAGCAGUGGGGAAUAUUGGACAAUGGGCGAAAGCCUGAUCCAGCAAUGCCGCGUGUGUGAAGAAGGCCUGCGGGUUGUAAAGCACUUUCAGCAGGGAAGAAAAGCCCGGGGAUAAUACCCCCGUGUCUUGACGUUACCUGCAGAAGAAGCACCGGCUAACUCCGUGCCAGCAGCCGCGGUAAU
rnacentral:rRNA from 1 species